ACACUGCCUGCGGGAAGCGGCUCUGUCACAUCUACCUCCUGCUGUGCUCAGAGAGAGGGAAAGGUCAAAGAACCUGCCCCUGAUGCCCAGCCAAGGCAUCUGACACCAUGGGUCUCCUCCAGAUGGCCAGAGCUGGUCUCCCUUCCACUCCAAGAAACGGGGACCAUGCCUGGGCCUGCUCCCCUUCCUUGGGCCAUGGCCCCCCUGCCACAGAGGCCUGGUGGCCCCUGAGCUGCUGCUCCGAGUGGAAUGUCCUGGUCUAGAGGCCCUUGGCUGCUCCAGUGUCUUAAGACCCAUAUGUGAGUGCUGGCUCUGACCUUGAACAAGCUCCUCCAUCACUCCAGGCCUCGUUUUUCAGGUGUAUAUGAUGAUAGUAUCUAUCAUAAAUGAUGACGUAAACAGAUGAUAGUAUCUAUUUAACUCCUAGAUUGUUAUCAAGUCAAGGACAACAAUAGGAAAACAUGUCACCUGUCAACUCUUACAAAGGGAGGGUAGGACAGGUGGCCCCUGACUAGGGGGUGGGGGUGCAGGGGGCACCCGACCCAUCUGGCCAGCCACAGCCUCUGUACCCUGCUCCCAUUUUCAGGCCUCAAUCCCCAAGCACUGUUGGCCCUGGACUGUUUUCCCCCCUUAAUUCUGUUUCUCAAUGCCUGCUUCUUCCCAGUAAGUGCCACACCCUGAGGGUGGGUGGGAGAGUGAGGCAGCAGUGCCCACUUUGGCUGGGACUGGGCACUGCUGAGGACAGCAUGGGCCACGUCUUCCCCAUCUCAAGACUGGCUUUUUGGCUGGGCAUCGUGGCUCACGCCUGUAAUCUCAGCACUUUGGGAGGCUGAGGCACGUGGAUCACUUGAAGUCAGGAGUUGGAGACAUGGUGAAACUCCGUCUCUACUAAAAAUACAAAAAUUAGCUGGGCAUGGUGGCAGGUGCCUGUAACCCCAGCUACUUGGGAGGCUGAGGCAGAACAAUCGCUUGAACCCGAGAGGCGGAGGUUGCAGUGAGCCGAGCUCAUGCCACUGUGCUCCAGCCCGGGUGACAAGAGCGAAAAUCCAUGUCAAAAAAAAAAGACUGUAUUUUUGGCUGGGCAUUGUGGCUCAUGCCUAUAAUCUCAGCACUUUGGGAGGCUGAGGUGGGAGAACUGCUUGAGCCCAGGAGUUUGAGACCAGCCUGGGAAAAAUAGCAAGACCUUGUCUUUAUGGAAAAAAAAAAAAAACAAAUUAGCCAGGCAUGGUGGCACACACCUGUAGUCCCAGAUACUUAGGAGGCCGAGGUGGGAGGAUCCCUUGAGCUCAGGAGUCGGAGGCCGUGGUGAGCUAUCAGUUGCACCACUGCACUCCAGCCUGGGUGGCAGAGCAAGACCCCAACUCAAAAAAAAAAAAAAAAAAAAAAAGGCGGCCUUUUCCCAGCUGCCAGCACCCUGGCUAGUUAGGGUUUCCCUGAAUCCGCAACUCCUGUUUGAUGGCGGGUCUCAAACGCUGGGAGGCAGCAGAGUCACCGGUCAGCGGCAAGGCCUGGAGUCUCCAUUCGGAACCAGCACCCGGGAGCCUCUGCCGCGGGUGGUCGCGGGGCCGUACGCGGAGGCGAUGGCUCUGGUGCUUUGAGCCGUUCCUCAGCAGCACGGCACACCCCCUCCUGCGGAGCCGCAAAGCUCACGAGUGUGCGGAAAGUGACCCGGACCCUGCAGCUGCCUCUCGGCCGGAGCUAGGGCUAUGGGUGUUGGGUGUAACGGGUCACAGAAGGAGGAGGGGGAAAACCAGUGCCUCGUCUGCCACAGACCAACCUUCCUGGCCUGGCUUCCUCUACUUCUUGAAAUUGACUUUUUGAACAUACGAAACAGUUGGAAACAUUCCUCCUGGGCAGCAAAAGAUUUCUCAGACAGCUUGAGUAAAAGACGCUGACUCAGCAGCAGGGAGAUGAGCCUUUCGAGGGCCAGGGACCAGCUCUCUCUGCACACUUUGGGGUUUCCGCCACUCCAGGGCUGAAUGUUUAUCAGGCUGGGUGUGGAGGUUUACGCCUGUAAUCCCAGCACUUUGGGAGGCCAAGAGGGGAGGAUCCCUUGAGCCCAGGAGUUCGACACCAACCUGGGCAACACAGCAAGACCCUAUCUCUGCAAAGAAUUUAAAAAUUAGCUGGGUGUGGUGGCGCGCACCUGGGGAGCCCUAAGAGGUCAAGGCUGCAGCGUUCACAUCACUGCACUCCAGCCUAAGCAACGCAGAAAGAGACCCUGCCUCAAAAAAACAAGAAAGAAAGAGACAUGAUAGAUUAGGGUUCCCCAAAGUGUGUUCCACAGAUAUUUUUUUUUCUUUUGAGAUGGAGUCGCACUCUGUCGCCCAGGCUGGAGUGCAGUGGCGCAAUCUCGGCUCACUGCAACCUCCACCUCCUGGGUUCAAGCAAUUCUCUGCUUCAGCCUUCCAAGUAGCAGGGAUUACAGGGGCCCACCACCACGCCUGGCUAAUUUUUUGUAUUUUUAGUAGAGAUGGGGGUUUCACAAUCUUGGCCAGGCUGGUCUUGAACUCCUGACCUCAUGAUCCACCUGCCUCAGCCUCCAAAAGGGCUAGGAUUACAGGCGUGAGCCACCGUGCCUGGCCUAGACUACCAUUUUCACAGUAGAACUGGCUGUUAUCUGGUUCCCUUUGCUAUCUUUUCCUUUUGAUAAAGCUGGAUUUCUCAUCCCCUAAAAACCUGAUAACUGAUUCUUCACAAGUCCUAGGGUAUCUUCACCUUGAUAAAAACAAGGAAACCAUCGGAAAAAGUGGCACACCAGGGAGGCUGCCAAUAAAAAGGAUUUGGAGUGUUUGUCCCGCCUGGGGAUGACUAAGGCUGACUCAGCUCAGGCCCCGGGGAAGUCCUGACUUUCUCUGUAGAAUCAAAACCUCUAAUCAGCUGAAGACCUGCCCUGUUUGGAAAAGUGGACUGUGGGUUAUCAGCUGUGUUUGUUGGAGCUGACAAGCCUCAACUGUUCGCAAGCUCCGAGGAAGUCUCUGCCCUGCCCUGUUUCUCGGUGAGGGAUGCAGAUCCCAGUGUGGGCCAGUUGCCCCAGCGUCUCCAGCCCCGUCCUGACCUCGAUGCCCAGGGUGUCCACGCACCCACCGUGCCACUUUCUGGGAGGACUUUGGGCUUGACCUGCUGUCUUUCAGCCAUGCUCAGGUGGAGCGUUCUGUUCUGUUUUCAUUUACAGACACACACGGCAACCCUCCCCCUCAGGCACUGGAAAACACACACCCCACACCCCACACCCAGGAGGCUAUUUUGGUCCUUCCCUCCCUCCUGGACCAGGAAACCCUGAUGGGGACACGAAGAAACAGUUGGGGCUGGCAGUGAUGCAAUAGCUCUGACGGGCAGACAGCUCCUGGGAUGCGGCCUUUCCAUGGCCCGGCUGGCCCGGCUCAGCUUAACACAUUCUGGCCGGUGGCCAGUGGGCUGGGCUCAGGCCGGGGAGUGACAGCGACCGAGGCUGCCCGGGGCACCUACCUGUCUUCUGGUCGCCGCUGACCAGGAACUUGAGGAUGUUGUUCAUAGCCCCCAUGUAGAAGAUGAGCCGCAGCUGCGUGACGCACAUGGUGACCAGGCUGAGCAGCAGGAUGGGGCUGAACACGCUGUGCAUGAAGGAGGGGGCCACUGCAGGGAGAGGGUGCGGGGCUCAGGGCCGGGGCACACUGUCCCCACCACCGGGGGGACACGCAGAUCCCUCCACGCUGGAGGCCAGGAGGGGGCCCUCGGGACGGGCCUGGUGAGGGUAACGGGGUUGGCGCUGCGGUGGGGUCACCUCUUGGGUGAAAUCAGGCAAAUCCCUUUCCCUCCCCCAGGCCUUCCUGAGCGCCUCUGCAGAACAGGGCGGGCGGGGCCGCCUCCCCUUUUGGGGUGAGGUGGGAAUGGGGUGAGCCGAUACCCACAGAGCACUCCCUGCCCGUCGCCCGGCUGCGGUCUCAGGCGGGUACCUGCGGCAUCCGGCUGGCACUUCACCUCCAGGUCGACGGUGGACAGGCACAGCUUGUGGCCCUCCUGCAGCGCCACCUGCUCCUUGGCACUCCUCAUGGAGCUGCCCACACUCAGGCGCCGGCCCACCGUGGUCACCUGCUUGUAGAACUGCUUCCCUGUGAUCUUGUGGUCAAAGCCCAGCCAGCUGAACUUGAUCUUCACCCUGGGGCCCCGGGAGAGUGUCUGUGGGUGCUGCCCGGGACCCCGGCUGGGGGGCGGGGGCUGGGGGCAGGCGGGACGGGGGCACCUCUACUUACGAGUAGUCCAUGUCCUCCGGCCCCGGGAAGGGCUCAAGGGGCCAGUUAAAGAAGCAGUUGAGGAAAACCAGCCCGGAGCAGCCGGCCCAGACCACGAGGACGACGAUGAAGGAGACACCAGCAUCAUAGAUGAGCUGACAGGCACCGCGGGGACGGGGUGGGGGGGGGAGGGGGCAGAGUUAGCCCGGGGAGGCCAGAGCCGCAGCAGGCAGGGGCGUCUGGCCACCCCUGCUGUCCCUGUGCUGAGCCGCGCAAAGAGGCACAGCCCUGCCAGCCUGGGCGUUGGGGCAUCAGGCACCCGCCUUCCAGUCCUCCCACCGUGCCUGCCCUGCUGGUCAUCUGGGCCUGGCGUGUGAUUAGCCCCCCGACUCGGAGGCCUUCCUGACCGCCCCGCCAUGACCACGGCACGUCUUGCAGGCUCAUAGUGAUCGGCCCAGCAGAGGGGACGGUGCUCCUGGUCCGUCGGCUUGUCUGGUAUUAGCGGAGCUCCCUGAAGGCGGGAACCGGCCAGCCCCGUCCACUGAUGCUUCCCCAGUGCCUCUGAGAGCUCACAUGGCAGAGGCCAAAGAAAUGCUCAAGGAAGCCAGGCAUGGUGGCUCACGCCUGUAAUCCCAGCACUUUGGGAGGCCAAAGUGGGCGGAUCAUGAGGUCAGGAGUUCCAGGCCAGCCUGACCAACAUGGUGAAACCCCAUCUCUACUAAAAAUACAAAAAUUAGCCGGGCAUGGUGGCGGGCACCUGUAAUCCUAGCUCCUUGGGAGGCUGAGGCAGGAGAAUCACUUGAACCUGGGAGGUGGAGGUUGCAGUGAGCCGAGAUCGUGCUGCUGCACUCCAACCUGGGCGACAGAGCAAGACCCUGUUCCCCCCCAAAAAAAGGAGGAGGAAGAACUUUCGGGAUGCUCCCCAGUCCAGGGGCAUGAGAAUCUCUGCAAGUCCAUAGGAUGGCUGGCCCCAGAGUCCCAGCUCCCACCACUUCAAUGCCCAGGUGGCCAGCCCACACCGUGUCCCCCUCUCCUCGCCAACAGCAUUCCCACACACACCACCGAGGAAAGGGGCUUUUACUUAGUGUGAGGGUCAGAGGUGGGAGAAGCCCCUACGGGGCCCUGGCAGACCCACAGGGUCUGGGGAACUUGGGCUGAUGGACUGUGAGGUGUUUGCUUCGUCCUGACCCUGUGUGACUUCCACAGGCUCAAAAUCCUGCCUAGGAGGGAAACAGCUGAAACACUUGGCCAAGAGCAGUGCUUUGGCUGGCGGGGAGUAACGGUACAAUAACAGCAGGCUGGGGGUUGGGGAGCAGGGGAGCAGCGGGAGACCAGGAUGACGGAGGAGACGGGGGCAAGACUCACAACUGGAAACAGACUCACCCACCGCCCUUCCC
rnacentral:lncRNA from 1 species